GUCGAGCGAGCGGAACCAACAGAUUUACUUCGGUAAUGACGUUGGGAAAGCGAGCGGCGGAUGGGUGAGUAACACGUGGGGAACCUGCCCCUAAGUCUGGGAUACCAUUUGGAAACAGGUGCUAAUACCGGAUAAUAAAGCAGAUCGCAUGAUCAGCUUUUGAAAGGCGGCGUAAGCUGUCGCUAAGGGAUGGCCCCGCGGUGCAUUAGCUAGUUGGUAAGGUAACGGCUUACCAAGGCGACGAUGCAUAGCCGAGUUGAGAGACUGAUCGGCCACAUUGGGACUGAGACACGGCCCAAACUCCUACGGGAGGCAGCAGUAGGGAAUCUUCCACAAUGGACGCAAGUCUGAUGGAGCAACGCCGCGUGAGUGAAGAAGGUUUUCGGAUCGUAAAGCUCUGUUGUUGGUGAAGAAGGAUAGAGGUAGUAACUGGCCUUUAUUUGACGGUAAUCAACCAGAAAGUCACGGCUAACUACGUGCCAGCAGCCGCGGUAAUACGUAGGUGGCAAGCGUUGUCCGGAUUUAUUGGGCGUAAAGCGAGCGCAGGCGGAAAAAUAAGUCUAAUGUGAAAGCCCUCGGCUUAACCGAGGAACUGCAUCGGAAACUGUUUUUCUUGAGUGCAGAAGAGGAGAGUGGAACUCCAUGUGUAGCGGUGGAAUGCGUAGAUAUAUGGAAGAACACCAGUGGCG
rnacentral:rRNA from 1 species